GUGCUCGGUUCCGCAGCACGUAUACUAAAAUUGGAAUGAUACAAAGAAGAUUAGCAUGGCCCCUGUGCAAGGAUGACAAGCAAAUUAGUGAAGUGUUCCAUAUUUCU